UGGGGAAUUUUGGACAAUGGGCGAAAGCCUGAUCCAGCAAUGCCGCGUGUGUGAAGAAGGCCUUCGGGUUGUAAAGCACUUUUGUCCGGAAAGAAAUCCUUGGCUCUAAUACAGUCGGGGGAUGACGGUACCGGAAGAAUAAGCACCGGCUAACUACGUGCCAGCAGCCGCGGUAAUACGUAGGGUGCAAGCGUUAAUCGGAAUUACUGGGCGUAAAGCGUGCGCAGGCGGUUUGCUAAGACCGAUGUGAAAUCCCCGGGCUCAACCUGGGAACUGCAUUGGUGACUGGCAGGCUAGAGUAUGGCAGAGGGGGGUAGAAUUCCACGUGUAGCAGUGAAAUGCGUAGAGAUGUGGAGGAAUACCGAUGGCGAAGGCAGCCCCCUGGGUCAAUACUGACGCUCAUGCACGAAAGCGUGGGGAGCAAACAGGAUUAGAUACCCUGGUAGUCCACGCCCUAAACGAUGUCAACUAGUUGUUGGGGAUUCAUUUCCUUAGUAACGUAGCUAACGCGUGAAGUUGACCGCCUGGGGGAGUACGGUCGCAAGAUUAAAACUCAAAUGAAUUGAC
rnacentral:rRNA from 1 species